rnacentral:rRNA from 1 species
GCGGAGGAAAGAACCAACAGGGAUUGCCUCAGUAACGGCGAGUGAAGCGGCAUAAGCUCAAAUUUGAAAUCUGGGUCUUUCAGACUCCGAGUUGUAAUUUGUAGAAGAUGUUUCGGGUGUGGUUCCGGUCUAAGUUCCUUGGAACAGGACGUCAUAGAGGGUGAGAAUCCCGUAUGUGACUGGAUACCUAUGCCUAUGUGAAACUCUUUCGACGAGUCGAGUUGUUUGGGAAUGCAGCUCAAAAUGGGUGGUAUAUUUCAUCUAAAGCUAAAUAUUGGCCAGAGACCGAUAGCGCACAAGUAGAGUGAUCGAAAGAUGAAAAGCACUUUGGAAAGAGAGUUAAACAGUACGUGAAAUUGUUGAAAGGGAAGCGCUUGCAAUCAGACUUGCGCCUGGUUAAUCAUCUGGGCUUCUGUCCGGUGCACUUGAUCAGGCUCAGGCCAGCAUCGGUUUGAGUGGUUGGAUAAAGGCUUAGGGAAUGUAGCUCUCUUCGGGGAGUGUUAUAGCCCUAGGUGCAAUGCAGCCUACUUGGACCGAGGACCGCGCUUCGGCUAGGAUGCUGGCGUAAUGGUUGUAAGCGACCCGUCUUGAAACACGGACCCCUGUGUGAAAUUGU